GGGGCUACAGCUGGAGGUGUGGGGCAGGGUCAGGUCUGAAGUAUUAGAGCAGAAAAUCUGAGGGUUGGGUCCAAGGUGCAUUGGUUCUUUUUAAGUGCAUCUCUUCCCGCUCCCAGCAGAAGACCCUCAGCCCCAAAGAGGAUCAGGGCUAGAGCGAGAGAGGCUGGAAACAUCAUUUGGUUUAGGUCAGGGUACAGGGUGUGGCAGUCAGGCCACUGUCAGAAAUAUGGAGUGCUUCUGAUAGCCACUUAUGUAAUUGCCUUUUCAUAUGCUGCUUAGGGUUUGAGUGACCAUAAUGUCUCACAACUAAGCUGUUUCCUCAGUCAAGGCAGCUGUCGCUCCAUUGUGGAGCAAACAGUGCUGGACUCUUUGCUUGGCUCAGGUUGGGAUACCAUGAGGGUGGUUGUGGGCUACACAAUUUCAAUCCUGCCUCUUCACUCCCUCCCUCCUGUUUUGGGUUCAAACAAGCAUUUGCACUGAAGUAGGUUCCAGACUUCCCAUAGCCCUGCUGCUAGUCCCACUGGUCCUCCAACCAGCCAAGGGGUUUGAAUUCCUUUUGUCGGAUUCCCUGACUGGGGCACCCAAUGUGUGGCUUGAAUCACUCACUCCCCAGCCAGGAUCCUCAUCCAUGUAAUCUCCCUUUUCCCCUGAAUCCCCUCCCAGGGGCACAUGUCCCAACCUGAUCACUUUUCUUCCCUUCUUACCUGACCUUUUCUAGUCCCAUGGCAACUGCUGAGUUUUCCAAAUUUACUCACAUAUUGAGUGCAGCAGUUUAACAGCAUCACCUUUUAGGAUUUUAAAUAGCUCAGCUGGGAUUCCAUCACCUCCACUAACUUUUUCCAUAGUAAUGCUUCUUAAGGCCCACUUGACUUCACACUCCAGGAUAUCUGGCUCUAGGUGAGUGGCCACAGCAUCAGGCUUAUCCAGUUUUCUCUCCAUUUCCAAGAAGACUUACAGAGGCUAUUGACUUUGAAAACAACCUACUGAUCCUUAAGGGAAAAAAGCAUGGUGAAUAUGUCUGAACUGAGUGCCCAUCUCUGGCCCAAUCAGCAACGACCAGAGGGAAAUCUCCAGCUUCAACUCCAAUCUAGAUGUAAUGCUAUAAACUGCUGCUGCCGCCGCUAUGUCACUUCAGUCGUGCCCGACUUUGUGCAACCCCAAAGACAGCAGCCCACCAGGCGCCCCCGUCCCUGGGAUUCUCCAGGC